rnacentral:rRNA from 1 species
UGAGGAAUAUUGGUCAAUGGGCGAGAGCCUGAACCAGCCAAGUAGCGUGCAGGAUGACGGCCCUAUGGGUUGUAAACUGCUUUUAUGUGGGGAUAAAGUGCGUGACGUGUCAUGCAUUGCAGGUACCAUAUGAAUAAGGACCGGCUAAUUCCGUGCCAGCAGCCGCGGUAAUACGGAAGGUUCGGGCGUUAUCCGGAUUUAUUGGGUUUAAAGGGAGCGUAGGCCGUUUGGUAAGCGUGUUGUGAAAUGUAGGAGCUCAACUUCUAGAUUGCAGCGCGAACUGUCAGACUUGAGUGCGCACAACGUAGGCGGAAUUCAUGGUGUAGCGGUGAAAUGCUUAGAUAUCAUGAAGAACUCCGAUUGCGAAGGCAGCUUACGGGAGCGCAACUGACGCUGAAGCUCGAAGGUGCGGGUAUCGAACAGG